CUUUUGUGAUUACAUCUAGUGUCUCCUAGCAACUUUGUGCUUCCUAUCCUUAUGCCUCUGGGUUCUAUUUCUACUUGGAGAUACAAUAGUUGUUCUCGUGAAUUGGAAUCAAUCAGUGCUACCUCGUGCUUUGAAAUUCUUCAUGUCCCUAGGAUGCUGCCACCAAAGAGACUGUAUUUCAUCUGGGCUUGAUGAUUGUUGCCUCAUCAGGGUGGGUCCAGGCUUUGGAUUCAGAUGAGCUGUUUGAAUCCUGGCUCCUAGAGGCUCUUCCAAAGACAUUAUCAACUUUAGAGCUAUUAAUCCAUAAACAUUGAAUUGGUAAAGACCCUGGACCCAUUGGAAAAGACCCUGAUGCUGGGAAAGAUUGAAGGCGAGAGGAGAAGGAGACCACAGAGGAAGAGAUGGCUGGAUGGCAUCACCAACUUGAUGGACAUGAGUUUAAGCAAGCUCUGGGAGUUGGUGAUGGACAGGGAGGCCUGGCAUGGGGUCAGAAAGAGUCGGACACAACUGAUCGAUUGAACUGAACUGAAACAUUGAAUUAAAAAUAAGGAAACUAAAGUAACAGUAAUUAAAAAGCAAGCCUAGCACCUGUUGAAAACCCUGAUCAAUCAAGAACACACUAAUAAUGUUCUUUUUUGAGGGAUGUUCUCCAAACACUCAAUUAAGAACAUUUUCAAACUCACAGCAAAACUGACAUAAUUUCCACCACCUUGAUCCUGCCACCAAUAUUUUAUUGAACUCUCCCAUUUUAUGGCCCUUUGAUCAAAUUUGAUUACUAGAAAUGACAUGCUUAGUUCUCCACUGAACUGCCUUUCUGAGACACGUCAUGUGGAUAUCUCUGGCUUUUAUUAAGGGUAAAAAGACAUGGUACC
ensembl:lncRNA